rnacentral:lncRNA from 1 species
AUCACAUGAAAUAAUACAAUAUGUUUUAAGAAACAUUUAUUUUUAAAUAGAUUCGACGCGCCCAUUCGACUCUCCACGCGCCUCCGAUAUCAAUCACCUGAAACUGUUGAAUAUGGGAUGAGCAUACAGGGUACACUCAGUGUGGGAACAUGCAAUAAUUGUCCAUGUUAAUAAAAUGGUAACACAUAUUGUCAUAACGUAACAUAACUUCCAUACGCACUGUGGCAACUCCAAGGACUUUAAUGUCCCGGACCCUAUAUAUGGAUCCCUGGCGACAAUAUAAUGGUUGCAACCCUGUAACGUGAAAUCGCAUUGUGGCAUACCAAGGACGGUGAAGUCCUGGACCAAUUAUGCUGGCCCCUAGCGAUAAAUAUUUUUACAACACAUACGGUAAACACAUAAUAUUAAAAUGGACAAAUAUUAACCACGUGCAUGUACUGAAAUAAAUCCCACACCUGGAAAUUUAACUUGAACUUGAACUUCAACUUGAAUGCUAACUUGAGUAAUACAAUUAAAAUUCAUAUCCUAGUCGCGCCGCACCUAGUCAGAUAAAUUCAAAUAAUAACAUAUAAGGGCCUAUUUGAACUUUAAAAUAAUUUAGAUUAUUGGAUCAUAUAAAAAUAAUAAAUUUAAGUAAUAAAAUAUAUUUUCUUAUAAAAAGAUUUGGGCUCAAAAUUUAGUUAAAAACUAAGUUUAAAUUAAUAAUUCAAGUCUAAAUAUAUUAUUAAAACAUCCUUUGAAAAAUAAUGCAAAUGCAAGACCAUGAAAAUUAAACUAUGAGCCCAAUUACUAAUUAAACUGAGCCCAACUAUCUUAAAUAAAUUGAGCCCAUUAGCCAGCCCAAGCCCAUUUCCCUUCCAUUCACCCUAAUUUAUAUUCACACCACACACAUACGCAGCGUAGCUCCCAUUUCCUCACUCUCUCUCUGCCGCUCUCUCCUCUCUUUCCUCUUCUCGGCCCUCUUCCUGCCGCCGCCACCGGACGGCAUCGCCGUCGCCGGAGUCGGCUGUCCUGGCUCCUCCCCCUCUUCUUUCUAUCUCCAUCUCACCCCACACUUCUCGCCCUCACUCUCCCUCUCUUCGUCGUCUCUCUCCAACGACCUCACCCCCGUGUCUACAGCCCCCCCUCUUUCCUUCGGCCGGUAGCAGCAGCCGCCAUCGUCGUUCCCACGUCGACAGCAGCGCCGCCUAGCCACCGCCUCCCUCAUCUCCUUCACCUCCUGGCCGACAGCAGCAGCGGGGCUGCCAUCGCCGCCUCCUGCUCCCUCUGUCUCGACCAGCAAGGCACGGCAGCGGUCGAGACCACAGCGCCGCCGCCCCUGUCUCCUUCCGCCGGCCGACGUGCAGCGCUGGCAAUACUGCUGCUCAACCGCCCCCUUGUUUCUAAGCCACCAUCCCUCUUCCACUUCUUCUAUCUCUAUUUCCCAUGUAAUAUAUAAGAUUUAUUCUAUUUUCUUUUUCAUGUAUUUAGCAAUAUAUAUAUAAAUUACAGAAAAAUAGAUGUAUGCAUGAUUGGAUUUUGAAAACAAAGUUUUUGAUGUUUAGCCUUGGUUUUGGCGAAAAUGCAGAAAAUUGUUGAUAUGCUUGAAAUGAAAUAACUUUUCAAAAGUUAUUAAAAUUACCAGCUUGAAUGAGUGAAGUAAAUCAGUUGCUGCGAAUUGGAAAUAUUUGAGUGAAUUUUUGUUGAUUUGUGAAUUUGAGAAUGAUACAUUGAUGUUUAAAUAGAUUGAAAUAUUUGACAUAGAACGUGUGAAAGUGUGAAAAGAGAUCAAUCAAACUUUGUUGCUUCAAAGUUUGCUGCUUCAAAAUUUGCUGCUGUGGAAAUCAAAUUUGGCUUGCUGUAUUUUCGAAAUAUUUCCAGAAAAUGAGAGAAGCUAAUUUUAUAAAAAAAGUGAGGCGGUGGAAAGGAUAAAAUGAAUUCCUUAUUGCACAAGAUUGACUAAAUAAAUUGGAUGGCUGAGGAGGAUCAAAUGAGAAAAUUGUGUAAAUGAGGCGGAAAAAAUACAUUCUAUGUAUCAUAAAAUUAUGGGCUUUUCAAUACUUUUACCCCAUGAAUACAAGUGAGGCCCAAACAAAUAGCCUACAAAAAUAUUUUAUACAAGGCCCAAAUUAUACUAAAAUGUUAAGAAUAAAAUUUAUAUUUAAUAAUAGCUAAUGUUUUAAAAUUAUGCAAAGUUACAUAAUAUAUUUGGCCCAACAUCAUAAAUCUGCUCCAAUAUAAAUAAGCUAUAAUUUAUUGAGGUCCAAAUUCAUAUAAAAAAAAUAUUUGGAAAAAUAAAGAAAAACUUGAUUAUUCCGAAAGUAUAGUUUUGCUUUGUAAAAUUUGCAGCGAUGAUGGUCAUAUUUAAAUAGGUAGUAAAUUACUUGUUCGUCAAAGAUUUGAAUGUGAAAGAAAUCAAAGUUUGCUGAUCAAAGUUUGCUGCUGGAAAUCAAAUUUGCUAUCAAAGUUUGCUUUUGAAUCUUCUGUUUGCUUUUGAAUUGAAGAUGUUGGGGAUUUUGGAAUUUGAGAGUAAAAUGAAUUGUGAGAGUUUAAAGAUUAUUAAAAAUUUCUCUGCACAAAAUAUGGGAUACAGUAGUGAACUGGAGAAGAAUGAAAAAUUUACAGAAAUAAUAAAAUUACCUUGUGCAGAGAAAAGAGCACAAAUAAUUUUAAAGCUUGCUGUGUUUUUGGCAUGUUUCGAAAAAUCAGAUGAUGAAGGC